CCUACGGGAGGCAGCAGUGGGGAAUUUUGGACAAUGGGCGCAAGCCUGAUCCAGCAAUGCCGCGUGAGUGAAGAAGGCCUUCGGGUUGUAAAGCUCUUUUGUCGGGGAAGAAACGGUGGGGGCUAAUAUCCUCCACUAAUGACGGUACCUGAAGAAUAAGCACCGGCUAACUACGUGCCAGCAGCCGCGGUAAUACGUAGGGUGCAAGCGUUAAUCGGAAUUACUGGGCGUAAAGCGUGCGCAGGCGGUUUUGUAAGUCUGUCGUGAAAGCCCCGGGCUCAACCUGGGAAUUGCGAUGGAGACUGCAAGGCUUGAAUCUGGCAGAGGGGGGUAGAAUUCCGCGUGUAGCAGUGAAAUGCGUAGAGAUGUGGAGGAACACCGAUGGCGAAGGCAGCCCCCUGGGUCAAGAUUGACGCUCAUGCACGAAAGCGUGGGGAGCAAACAGGAUUAGAUACCCUGGUAGUCCACGCCCUAAACGAUGUCUACUAGUUGUCGGGUUUUAAUUAACUUGGUAACGCAGCUAACGCGUGAAGUAGACCGCCUGGGGAGUACGGUCGCAAGAUUAAAACUUAAAGGAAUUGACGG
rnacentral:rRNA from 1 species